AGAGACAACACUUAUGCCAUAUUACGAUAUCCAAAAUCUAAGACGAUAUCUAGUCUCAUAUCACGAUAUCGAUAUAAUAUCGAUACUGUAUAUUGCCCAGCUCUAGCGCCCGGUCUAUUUUCACAUGAGCUGUUCAGACAGCCGGCCAGGAAGUGAAACAGCGAGAGCAUCCAGUCAAUUUACCCCCCCCAAUAUCCUAUACAGGUAUGUCGCCUCUACAACACCACGGAAAACAAGAGAUUCAUCUUGGAGGUGGAAAAACACAAUAGACACACAUUUAUUUUUUUUUUUUUUAAGGACAACGCCAGAAAAGAGAAGGCAUGGAGUUUAACUGUAGGAGUGCCUUGAGUGGACGGUAGAUACUAGCUAAUAAACACGCGAUUGUUCUGUACAGUACAAAGUAGAGACUGUAAUCUGCUAGUCGAGACGCUCCCCGUGUGGCGCGUGGCGAAGGACGGAAUAAAACCGGAACGCAGCACAGACACGCCCAGUGGAGAAUCCGGGUAACUGGGACACUUGACAAGUCAAAAUGUCUGCUGUGAAAAAGCUCCAUUUGGCUGAAGAUUUCUCAUUUUCUGUUGGAAAAAGGAAACGUAUACUCUCCUGGCAGAGAUACACUGAGCUCAAUAUAUAUUUAGUCUGGUUGUAAUGUUUCUGUGUGUAUUAUAUAUUGUAUCCAAAUGGAUGAACUUAUACGGAUACGUUAUCCAUAUAAGUUAUAUUAUAAAUGUAUAUUCUUAAUGAAUUAUUUUAUAUUAGUGGCUGUUAUGUUAUUAACAUAAUAAAUGUGUUGCUUUCUAAA